AGAGAAUAGAUACCCAGGUAGUCCACGCUGUAAACGAUGACGACUAGGUGUGGGGGGUUCGAGUCCUUCCGUGCCGCAGCUAAACGACAUUAAGUCGUCCGCCUGGGGAGGUACGGCCGCAAGGUUGAAACUACAAAGGAAUUGACGGGGGCCCGGCACAAGCGGUGGAGCAUGUGGUUCAAUUCGAUGCAGAGCGAAGAACCUUACCUGGGCUUGACAUGCAGGAAGUAGAAACCGGAAACGGGGACGACCUGUUGAGUCAGGAACCUGCACAGGUGGUGCAUGGCUGUCGUCAGCUCGUGCCGUGAGGUGUUGGGUUAAAGUCCCGCAACGAGCGCAACCCUCACUCUAUGUUGCCAUCGGGUAAUGCCGGGCACUCUUAGGGAACUGCCGGCGAAGAGCUGGAGGAAGGGGGGAUGACGUCAAGUCCGUAUGCCCCUUAUGUCCAGGGCUACACACAUGCUACAAUGGCCGAUACAGAGGGUUCCCAACCCGCAAGGGGAGGCAAUCCCACAAACGUCGGUCUCAGUUCGGAUUGCAGGCU
rnacentral:rRNA from 1 species